GGGGAUGUAGCUCAGUGCUAGAGCGCAUGCUUCGCUUGUAUGAUGUCCUGGUUCCAUCCCCAGCUUCUCCA
rnacentral:tRNA from 1 species